UACAGAGGGUGCGAGCGUUGUUCGGAAUUAUUGGGCGUAAAGGGUGCGUAGGCGGCGCGGUAAGUCGGGUGUGAAAUCUCGGAGCUUAACUCCGAAACUGCAUUCGAUACUGCCGUGCUUGAGGACUGGAGAGGAGAGUGGAAUUCCUGGUGUAGCGGUGAAAUGCGUAGAUAUCUGGAGGAACACCGGUGGCGAAGGCGACAUCCUGGACCGGUAUUGACGCUGAGGCGCGAAAGCCAGGGGAGCAAACGGG
rnacentral:rRNA from 1 species